CGAGGACGUUGCAGUUGUUGAUGGAGCGGGCGUUCAGGGCGUCGGCGGGAGUGAGACACGUGGCGGCGAAGACGCCGGGGUUUUUGUUGGCGAAGAUUGCGACGCCGACUCCGGUUCCGCAGGCGACGAGGCCACGUGUGGUGGUGUCGGAGGAAUCGGAGGAGGAGACGCCGCGGCCGACCUCGGCGCCGAUGGAGUAGUAAUCGGAGGUGCCGAGAUCUUCCACGUCUAUGUUGAGUGACCGGAGGUGGGAGACCAGAGCGUCUUUCAAUUCGGCGCCGAAGGAGUCGGCGCCUGCGAUGAUCUUGAGAGGGCUGGGAGCGGCAGCGGCGGCGUUUUCAGCCAUGGUUCACUACGAGUUGACUAUUCCGAGGGAUGAGUUCAGUGGAGAGUCAGUAAGUCUACAUUCUGGGCGAAUGGUGUGAUGUCAAUUAUCGAUUUUCAUGCAGAAAUGGAUAAUUUACUCCAUGUCCUUGUCGUUUCACCAAAUUUAAAAUAAUCAAAGAAAGGUUUAAAUCAAUCAAAAAAACUUUUCUUUGUGAAAUUCGCUAAAAAAUAGUGGCUUUUGUAAUGUUAUACCGAUUAUAUACUUAAAGUAACUCAUUAUCAUUAUCAAUAUUAAUUCAAUCAAAAUUUCUUUAUUUAUUCAUUUAUUAAUUUUAUAUCAAGUUAUUAAUCAAUCAAAAUGUGUAUAUUUGUUAAUUUCGUUAUAAUUAUUUUAAAAUAAAUCACUUAUUUUUGUUAGUAUUUAUAUACUCUAAAUGUAAGUAAGUUUUUUAAUUAUCAACAAUUACAUCAUAGCUUGAACAAAUAUAUAUAUAGUGGGUCAAACUUGUCUUUAACAUUGUUUAUAUUUUAAUUAGAGUGAUAAACUUGUCUUUAAUAGUGGGUCAAACUUGUUCGAGGGACUUAUUUGUUAAUUUCAUAAACAAUGAGUACCUACAUGUAAAUUUUCUUAUUACGUAAAAAUUAUUGUUUUAUAUAUUUUUUUUAUCAGAGAUAAAAAAAUAAGAGUAAAUUAAUUUUUUUUAUAAGAUCUUAUUAAAUUACAUUAUAAUAUAACUUACAUCAACCAUUAAUUUAUAAGUAGUGACUAAAAAUAAAACCAAUUAAAUUAUUUUUUUAGAUCACUAAUUAUAUCUUUUGAGUUAGUAUAAGUUACAUUAUAGGGUCCAGCUACUAUACCCAUGAGGUUUGGUACCCCAUUCUUUUGUCUUUUUCAAAUCCACCGUUGGAUUUAACGUGAGAGUUGAAUAAUGGUUAGAUGUGAUUAUUGGGUCAUUAGCAUUAAAAGCCCUUGUUGUUCAUGCAAAAUAAGAAAAAUCAAACGUUUUAUAAUUCUGACAUAUAAGUCCACAAUAUUUUAAUUUUUUUUACUCUAUUGAACUAGGUUUUCAAUUAAAUGACUUAUUCUUACAUUUAUUAAUAUCUAUUUAAAUUAAUAAAUUUACUUAUUAAUUAAUAUAUUAACUAAUUUAUUACAUAAUUAAACUAUGUAAAUUAUUUACUAAUCAUAAUUGAUGAUAAAUAUAAAUAUGAUUUUUUUAAAUUUAAUACGGCAACCAAUUUUCUUUCACCCAUGUGAGCAGGGUUCAAACCCCAUAUCCUUUUUUUUUUUUCUCAAGCAAGAGAUUUUAUAUGUCAAGUAGAUGGAAUACACAAAAUACGAAAAUAAAUUUAAUUUGAUAUUCUAUGUAGGUAAUGUUUUGUUAUUUUUUUAUAACAUAAUAUUUAAUUAACAUACUUAAUUAUUUAAUUAUGUAGUAAAAAUAUUUCAAUUUACUAAUAAUAAUAAAGUGUUAGUUUAUGAAUUUAUAAAAUCAUUUUUGUUUGUUUGAGCAAUGAGUUUUGUAUUUUUGUGCUAAAAUAAAAGGAGUAAAUUUAAUUGUACACUUAAAUAAAUUUAAUUGAGUUUUUGUCCUGAAAAUCGUGGCUUCCAUAAGCAUUAAUGCAACUGAAAAUUUGUAGGUGUGGGACUAAUAUGUGAAAAUUUAAAAGUGUUUAGAUUUUUUGUUUUUAGAAUAAAUUACAGGACUCUAUUAUAAUUGACCUUAAGAAAAAGACAAAAAAAGGGGUACCAAACCCCUGUUGCAAAGUAGUUUUGCCCUACAUUAUAAUAUAACUUAACAACAUCUUUUUUAUAACACUGUGCUUAUUAUUGGCCUGACACUUUUCCGUAUUAAAAUUAUUGUUUCAAAUAAAGAAAUUGAAGUUAAUUUCAGAAAACAAUUUUUUUCAAAAAUUAAAAAACAAAUCCACAAAUUUCAAGGAUAAGCGGCGGAGGAUAAGAUCAGAAAUGGCGGGAACCGUUGGUUUGGGCUUGGGCAAACCCAUCAAAACGUUAAUCGCCGUUCGAUCCUGGGGAGUAUCGAUGACAUCAAACGCUGCUCAGGCACGGUGAACGGACGGCAACAAGAACACCAACAACAAAACUGCAACUCCCCAGUUUCUGGAAUUUGCAGUCAGUGGGGUCACUGAGCUUCUAAGGCUAUUCUCAUCCUUCGAUAAAGGCAGGUAAUUUACUUAUGAAGCUAUCAUCUCUGUUCUGUUUGGUUGCCAAGAAAAUGCCGGAAUACCCACCGGAAAGAUAAGGGAAAAUAUUGCAUAAUUGAUAAAAUUCAUCAGUUUAGUUUGCAUAUUUAAUAUUUUAUGUUUCGUUAGGUGUUUGCAGGUUGGAUAGAGUGAGUUAUAAACAAAAAGAUGAGAUUUUGGUUAAAUAAUUAAGCUACAAAAGAUAAAAACAAAAAUUAAAUUCUGCCCAAUUAAAUAAUUUAAAUAAAUUUAUCAAAGACAACUUAAAUUGCACGUGCGUACGUGCACUGGAGGGCCAGUUUGGGAUUUGUCAGAAUUUAUAAUAGAUUUUACUUAAAAUUCCGCACGAAAAUCAAUUGAAAUAGAGCCAAGAUCAGGUUCACUUUAGAAAUUAAAUAGCGAUCAAAACCAUUGCUUGCCCCCAAAGUAACAUGCACACCAACACAAAGACAUCAUGGAUUGGAUUACAAUUAACUUCAUUGGAGAUAAUAGGAAUUAGUAGAGAAAUAAAAAUGUUACUAAUAGGGAGAUACAAAGUGUAUUUAGAUGAACAUCCACAUUAAAUUUUAAUAUUUUCAUUACAUAAUUUCAUAAGAAUUUUGAAACUAGAAGGGAUCCUAACAUUUAGAAUUUAAUGUUAAGAGGUGGGUAAAAUCAACCAAUUUUUUUAAUCCAGGAGAAUUUAAACUCGACUGGCCAGCCAAAUAAUGUUGCUUGAAAUCCACUUGGCCAGGUCCCUAAUGUCAAGUUACCAUUCAACUUGCAUAUGGUUUAAGUAAAACUGGGAAGAAAUAUUAGUAGAAAUUUAUGGCUAAACAUGAUAUGUAGGGUAGAAACUAGUGUUUUUCUUAGAGCCAAUUUGGAAACAGAGAUGCUACUACAGUUAUUCUCCUUGAGUUUGAGUUAAACACUGAUAUCAAAAUGCAUAUGAAUUACACACUUGCGCCAAGAUUAGAAAUUUCGAUUGCCAAUUCACAAUGCAUAUUCACACACAUAAUUGGAGCAAUUGCCACAUAAGUAUCAACUAAAAUGGCAAUACAUAAUAAAAAUACAGGAAAAGAGAUCAUUACAAAUUCGGCAAGAGUUCGAUAAUAUUAUAUUACUUGGCCAAAAAACACUCAUUAGGUUUACAGCUUUCAAAUGCCUUAAAAUUAAAAUGACAUAAAUGAGUUUUUAAAUUUAAAAAAAAAAAAAAAAAAAAAAAAAAGAUCAGGCUGCAUGCACAUAGGAGUUCACAUUAAGGAGAUCUUGAAAAUCCCAAUGUCACAAGUUCAAAGUAUUGCAGAAUAUAUUUCACGAGAAGAAAGCAGAGACUCCAGAUUAUAGUAUCUACAAUUUAAACACUAUAAAGGGAGCACCUAUAACUCGGUUACAAUUUGUUCAAAGCAAUGGGAAAUGAGGGUGGCAGACAAACACUAAACAUGUAUCAAACUAACACGAACAAACAAUCAAAAUAAUAAUAACGAUCGCAACACAAUCAACAAUCUGAGAACAAAGAGCAUCAAGAUUAUCCAAAAUACAAGUAUAUUCACACUACGCGAUACACAAUUCAAUAUACAAGUUUGUUCAUACUACACAAUACACAAUUCAAUAUACGAGUAUGUUCAUACUUCACAAUACACAAUCUCUUGCACAACAAGCAAACAACUCAUACAUUAUUCAAAAGCAAACCCAUUAUUACCCAAACUUAAUCUGAAUCUUCCCCAUAGAAGCUGAUCAAGCAGUUUCCUUCUCAACCGCCUUCUUUGCAGCCUCAAGAUCCUCAUCAAAGAACAUAUCCCAACGCCCAUCCCACUUGAUGAAAAACUCAGUCUCUUCGUAAUACUUCACUCUAUGCACAUCACCAGCCGGUGUAAACAAGUAAUCCCCAACAGUCAAAUCAAACCUUUCCCCUUUAGUCAGAUUCCACACACUCUUCUUCCCUUGGAGCACCACCAGAUCAUGCCCAAAUGUAUGGUGAUGCGCGGGCUCCACACUCCCGGCCUUAAACCUCACAAUGGCCGAUGUCGGACUCUCCCUAAUAAUCUUCAUUGACCCACCGGGAAUCAUUUCCACAGGAUUCAAUUCCCUGUUCUUAACUAAACAACAUAUGCUACAAGUACUGCUACUAGAAUCACUAUCUAAUUUAUCAUUUUUACCAAUAAGGGGCAUUUCGGUCAUCGAUUUGUCGAAAAAACACGAUAUGUUCUCUUCCCAUGGCUUAAAACCCGACGCGGGGCAUGGGGCUUUAAAAGGGGUUUUAAGCCACGUGUCCAGGAUUUCGACGGCGGAUUCUUUGGAAGUGGACAUACCUGAGACGGCGAGGACGUUGCAGUUGUUGAUGGAGCGGGUGUUGAGGGCGUCGGCGGGAGUGAGACAUGUGGUGGCGAAGACGCCGGGGUUUUUGUUGGCGAAGAUUGCGACGCCGACUCCAGUUCCGCAGGCGACGAGGCCGCGUGUGGUGGUGUCGGACGAAUCGGAGGAGGAGACGCGGCGGCCGACCUCGGCGCCGAUGGAGUAGUAAUCGGAGGUGCCGAGAUCUUCCACGUCUAUGUUGAGUGACCGAAGGUGGGAGACCAAAGCGUCUUUCAAUUCAGCACCAAAGGAGUCGGCGCCGGCGAUGAUCUUGAGAGGGUGAGGAGCAGCGGCGGCAGCGUUUUCAGCCAUGGUUGACUAUGAGUUGACUAUUCUGAGGGAUAAGCUCAGU
rnacentral:lncRNA from 1 species